AGGAAUAUUGGUCAAUGGACGCAAGUCUGAACCAGCCAUGCCGCGUGAAGGAUGAAGGUCCUCUGGAUUGUAAACUUCUUUUAUCUGGGACGAAAACGGGAUUUUUAUCUCAAUUGACGGUACCAGAGGAAUAAGCACCGGCUAACUCCGUGCCAGCAGCCGCGGUAAUACGGAGGGUGCGAGCGUUAUCCGGAUUUACUGGGUUUAAAGGGUGCGUAGGUGGGCUUAUAAGUCAGUGGUGAAAUCUCCGAGCUUAACUUGGAAACUGCCGUUGAUACUAUAGGUCUUGAAUUAUCUGGAGGUAAGCGGAAUAUGUCAUGUAGCGGUGAAAUGCUUAGAUAUGACAUAGAACACCAAUUGCGAAGGCAGCUUACUACAUAUAAAUUGACGCUGAGGCACGAAAGCGUGGGGAUCAAACA
rnacentral:rRNA from 1 species